rnacentral:rRNA from 1 species
CCUACGGGAGGCAGCAGUGAGGAAUAUUGGUCAAUGGUCGAGAGGCUGAACCAGCCAAGUCGCGUGAGGGAUGACGGCCCUACGGGUUGUAAACCUCUUUUGUCGGGGAGCAAAAUGAGUCACGUGUGGCUCUUUGUGAGUACCCGAAGAAAAAGCAUCGGCUAACUCCGUGCCAGCAGCCGCGGUAAUACGGAGGAUGCGAGCGUUAUCCGGAUUUAUUGGGUUUAAGGGGUGCGCAGGCGGAGGUGCAAGUCAGUGGGAAAAUUGCGGGGCUCAACCCCGUACUGCCGUUGAAACUGCAUCCCUUGAGUGCGCGAGAAGUAUGCGGAAUGCGUGGUGUAGCGGUGAAAUGCAUAGAUAUCACGAAGAACUCCGAUUGCGAAGGCAGCAUACGGGCGCGCAACUGACGCUGAAGCACGAAGGCGUGGGUAUCGAACAGGAUUAGAUACCCGAGUAGUC